UCAGGGCUGGCCUGGGGCACAGCGCAUCGCUCCGCGGGGCCGCCCCGCUCCCCAGCCCCGCCGGGUGCGGAUGGCUGCUGUGUCGGACUGGCACCUGACCCCACGUUAUGCAGGGGUAAAAAGCAAGUACUCUUGGUGUACAGCUACUGAUAACGUUUAAAAUCGGGAGGAGGGUUUUUUCUUUGCUGUUGGCUCUAAAGCAGGUGACGCAGAAGGGAGAAAUGGAGCUUGUGUUAAUGCUUCGUUGCACACACAGAUUUUUUCAUAUUCCUGGCAAUAUUCUUCGGGCCUCCUUCAGCAUUGCCUUGUGAUCUCUGCUACCUUUGCCAGGCAGUUUUCACAAAUUAAUUUACUGCGUACACAGGUACUGUAUUUAUUACAUCACCCAAGUUAUGUUGUAAACUAUGUAAACUAGGAUAGCAGGAGCUAGAAGGGAUUCAGAAACAAUGGAGACGAUUGCUUGUGCUUGCAAGCUGAGUGCUCUACUAGAGAGCAGUGGCUGUAGUAGCUGCUACAGGACGGAGAGGGGUGGCUGUAGGUGACUGGCUGCACGCUGCAGUAACCCUGUACGCUCUGAGGGUGUUUGUGUAAAAGAUACAACUCUCAAAUUUCAGCAGGUCUUAGUUCUGUUUUGAAAAACCCUUGUAGAUGUAGAAAGACAGUCAGUGUGCUCCUUAGCUGAAGGUGAGUAUCUUAAUUUGAUGGUCAAGGAGGGAAGAGGAAUUAAUAUCUUGAUGCAUUGGUCAGGUAUGGCAGGUGCCUGUCGGAAUGAAUGGUGGAGUCAAAUCCUCUUCUAGUCUAGUGGUGGGACUGUGGCACACUUUGUUAUUGCCUUAGUAUGAUGUUACGCGUACCUUUGGUCUGAAAGAAAAAUCCUUCAGUCCUCUCAUAUGUGCAAUAAUCACCGAAUCUAAAUAGAUAUCCAUCUGAUACGUUAGACAUGUUUAAUAAGCUGAAUUGCACAAUAAAGCAGCAUGAUGAAUUUUGUUCAUGGAAAGCAGCAUUUUAUUGCAAAUUGGACCCAUACAACUUCCUGCUUCCUCCUUUUUUUUUUUUUUUUUUAUUUCCAGAUGAAAGAGAUGUCUGUAUAACACUUAUCCAGGUUUUUGUUUUGUCUUGUGAAGCUGCCUUCUUUAGUAUUCUAUUAGUUUGCGUAAGUAUGCUCAAAUUUAAUGCAGUUUGGCCUAAUUUACGUGUGCUCUGGCUGUAACUGAAAUGUGCGUGUACAGAUCGUAUGUCAUCUUGUGAACCAACAGAACAAUCUGAAGGAAGCUUUUAAGUACUACACGGCUAGCCAAGUUGAUGGCCAUGUUUUUUGUCUCUCCUUUUUUUCUUUGCUUCCUAUUUUCAGAGUGGAGAGCGGGAAGUUUCUUUGAAGAAACCUGUUGGAAUGCCUCACAUCAAUGCAGCUGCAGCUCUGCAGAUUUGCGUGCUGCUGUCUGUGCUUCCUGCACAAUAUUUCAUAUCCCAGUGGUACGGAACAGACUCUGCGCAGUGCAUCCAAAUAACAGGAAAGUUGUAAGUCUCUGCUUCCCUGCUGUAUUUAUUGAUAAGGGAGUUCAUUCUCAUCUGCAACAACACGUUGUCCUGGAAAGAUGGAGUGUGGGUGGGACGCGUUGGCCAUUCCUACAUGAAAACAACAUACCUUUUUUGUGCCUUAAUGUGACUGUAUUUAGUCGUUUAAAGAUGUCCUUCAAAAUUUGAACAACCACCAUUGUUUUCUUCACAUAAAAACCUGUGUAUAAUCUGCAUGAGGGCUCCACUUUGCCUUAAUUUCAUUCUGCUUUUGGACAUUAUGAUAUAUGUUGCUAUGGGUUAUGUCCCUUUAAAAAGGGAGAAAUGAAAUGUUUGAUUAGUAAGAUUAUUUCUAACUUUCCAUUACCUUUUGACGCUUGCUGUUGAGAUAGAUUUUUUUUUUUUGCAUAGUGUGAGUCAGUACAGAGUUCUUAACCAACAAAGAUUCAUUACUAGUAAAUCACUUAAGGCAGUCACAAAAUGAAGUAAGUAGUGCUGUUUUUUAUCUGAAUUAAAAAGUUAUGUAUUGACAGGGUUGCACGCAUCUAUUCCAAAUCUAAAGUGGAGAAUACUGCAUCAGGUCUAAAUGUUUGAUAGUGGUAACCAUUGCCAAAUGUUGGUAUCUUGAAGGUGAACCAUGCGAAGAGAGACUUCGGUGGCUGUUUUAGCAGUGCAGCCUGUGUAGCAUGUUGGUUGUAUGGUUCAUCUGUAGAUCUCAAAUACAUGACGUAAUGAGAGCAAAAGACUGGCCUGAUGAAAACAGAGCUAAGUCUGACUUUGUGCAUAAAGACCCAGAUUUAAAUAAUUUUCAGGUUUCACGGUAUGAGUCAACUACUAACUGUUUAGAGUUAUGCAGCAAUGUUUAGGCUGUAGUCUUUUGAUUACAUGCACCGUUUUUGACAUCUCAUGCUCGCUAUUCUCAAGUAACAGUUGAAACUGCAGAAUCUGUUGCAAUUUAGCAAUUCCUAUGGUCUGAAUACAGAAAGUAAGCAACCUUGUAAUGAAAAAUGACAUUUUCCAAAAGUUACAUACAGUUUGCUGGUACAAGCGAUGAUUGAAAGAAUAUUCAUUUGCAGUCUUGAUAUUAAUCGUGAGAACUUGUUCUUGGUCACUGACUCUUUUUUCCUGUUCGCUACAGAAGCAAAGCCUUAAAGUUUUAAAUAAUAAAAAGAAUAUAAAAAUACUAGGGAAGGUUUUUAAAACAACGCGAUGAUAAUUUUUACUACUAAUGAAUAAUUGCCUCUUGGAGCAGCUUUACGAAAUCUUACUUGAGUCUGGAUGCGUGUGCAGAUCGUUUAAAGCUGUGGCUAUCAAAGACAAGGCAGGGUGUUACAUACUGUCUACACUUAAGAGGAGGCCGUGUCUGAAAUUUAUUCUUAACAGGAAGGUAUGCUUUAGGGGUACAAUAAGUAAUGAAGUGUCUCUCAUUUGCUUGUUGAGAAUUAUUUGGGACUUUCUACCAGUUUUAAGAAAACCGUGUGCCUAUAUUCUACACAAACAUGCAAUUUGAACUCCAUGCAAAACUAAAUGUAAAUCAUGGCAGUAAUUCUAUACAUGUUAUCCUCUACUUCAAAUUUAUCUGAUUGUGAAGUCAGGACAAUUCACCGUAUUAAUGAUUGUGAGGAGCUACAUGUUUGUGGGAUCAGAUCCUACAACAUGGGAUGGACAUCUUACGCUGUCUGUGGUAGUUCAAGAAAACUUGAACUGGAAAACACAGACAGGAAACUUGCGGGUUUAGGAAGAAGGGAAAACUUGAUUAUUGAACAUUUGACAAUGAGUUGGUCUAGAAAAGGUAAAAUUACACCCAUUUACAUAUAUGACAAUUUAAGAAGACUGUUGCUUGGACUUGUUUGGGAAGGUUAAAGGGCUUGUUUGUGAGAUUUAAUUCUUGUACAGUAGAAAUACUGCAAAGGUUUUACCUUGUCUGGACCUUCAAAUAUCCUUUAUUGUUGAUCCAUGUACAACAAUUGAGGGUCUCAGGCCCUCUGAACUGUGGAAGGUUCAGACUUAGUUUUGCCCCCAAGAAAACCCAGGGUAAUGGUGUAUGAAGGGAAACAGAAACUGCCUUUCUCAGACUCACUAUAAAUUGCUUUGCAGCUUUGUGGAAAGCUCCAGGAAUAUCUAAAGAUAAACCCUUCAAAGACCAAACGAUCCUUUGAUUAUCUGUAUAUAGUUUGAGCUGAUAUGUCUUCUGAGUUUCUUAUACUAUAAAGAAUUGGUUAUCCUAAAAAUACAGUGACAUUUGAGAGCUUCCAAACCUACCAUUAUUAGCUGCUGUUUUCAACAAUGUAGUCUGACAAGUCAGGAUAUUUGCCCAUUCCUGUUUGUAUUAAAAGGUAUCUGGCAGCCUUAAGUCUUCCUACAGACUUGAGCAAAACCAAGAGCUGUUAAAGAAGUAUUCUUUGCACAGCUGUGGAACCUGCUCUUACUUUCUUCCAGGCAGGCUGAAGGGAGUAAGACUCAAAGAGGGAAGGUGGUGAACACCAUAAAAGAGGAAGGAGACUAGGCCAACCUAUAGUUCUUUGGCAUCAAUGGGCCGCUGACUGGUAUGGAUGGAGAAUGUUAACCCAAAUACAUCUGUUCAUAGACUACUCCUGUUACGUUGCCAGCAGAAGGAAUAUCUGAAACCUCGCCCCCAGUAAAUGUUCGGUUUGCUUAGUUUCUUUACACAUAUUUGCAAGAGCAAUGAAAAACAGAGGCCAUUUCCCCUUUCUAAAGAUGUCCUUCUCCUAGCCUUCACCCUUUACAUUCAGAUGAAAUUCAGUGCAGUGCAGAAGGAAAAGCUAUACUUACUGCAGCUUUAAGCUGGGACUCAUUGCCAGAUACCUUGGCCAUACCAGUGUUAACCAAUAUGUAAGGAUUUUACAAAAGAUACUGAAGAAUCACUCUGUUAGAGUUCAGAAUAAUAUUUGCUCACCUGUAUAAAAUAAAUAGGUUUCCUCUGAUAUAAAAAUUCUAAUGCAACUGUAGAGUUACACAUCCAAAGAAAUUAGAUUCACACUCUUCUGUUGGAACAAAUCCCUUUGUCUUGUGUAUACCUUAAAAGUGCUUUUAAUGGAAACCUCUUAUCUGGGCUCCAAAUUUUGAAGAAUUUUGUAUCAAAAGCUUUGCAGUAUCCCUCUUUUCAUACGAAUGCUUAAAAUAGCAGUAAUCAGAAGGUCAGUUAUCCUAAAACUUAGUUUCUAAAGAACUUGUUUGAAUCUCGGGUUAUUACUUUUACGUUUUAGGAAUUGCUUCGACAGAGAAAAUUCCAAGUGGCAACAGUGAAGCAGAAACCCAUUUUUGUUUUGCAGGUGUUAGUCUUUGCAAUCCUUUUGGAUUUUGCUUGUGAUAUUGUUGCCUAUAAGGUCAGAAGGUCUUUCAUAGUGGAUUUCCAUACUUACUUUGUAAAUGGUAGUCUUUUUUUUUUUCCUGCUUUCUCAACAUUAUUGAUAAUGUUCAGUAAGCAAAACAGAAAAUGUAAAACCCAAGACCUUUUCACCCUGUGUUGUGUAACAGUAUCAAUAUGAUAUACUGUAUGUGUGUAUCUAUUUUAUUGAAUAGAUCUGAGUGCCUAUGCUAUAUGAAACAGUCAUAUGGCUUUUACCUGAUUCAAAUGAACUGACGUAGAUCAACUUGUUAAAAGGAGAAAGCAAGAGUUUUUCAGUCUGCUCCUGGAAAAAAUUUCCCUGCAAUCAGACUGAAUAGAAGAAUUCUGUGACCUAAACUGGAAAAAACUGUUGGCAAAAUCAGUUAGCAUAUUUAAGCACUGUAAAAUACUGUAUGUAAGCCUUAAGUAAUUGUCAGUACGUACAUGUGUUUGUGCUUUCCAAAACUCUGUUAAGACCUCUAUGUCAUAUCGAAGGCAUACAAAGAGAAAAAUGCCUUCCUUAGUGGAUGCUGCUUUGUCAGAGAUCAUAGUAAUAUUCUGAGGGAAAAAGCAAAGUACCUGUUCCCUUGUUUACUUCACACCUGUUAAUCUAACUGCCAGUUCUCUCCUACCAGAAGUCAGAAGAUUUUCUGUUUAAACAUUUAAUGCACUUGAUCAAACACUUUGCUAAGUCUCUUUCUUUUAGAAUCAAUUCAUGUUCACAGUCCAGAGCCUGAAUAUAUUCAGAUCAGUGUGGGACAAGUAAUAGGUAACAAAAGAUUUGGCUAUGCAGGAAUCAUUGUUGGAUGGGACAUCAAAGCUAACUCUCCAGAAAAAUGGCUACAACACAAAUAUCCUCCAGCAAACCAGGGUCUAAAAGACAGUCUUAGCUGUGGAAUUCUAAUUAACAAAGCAAAUGGAUUUGGCAAAUCUACAGCUUACAUUCCUGAGGAAAAGAUAGCAAUUAUUAUGGGAUUAGAGUCUUUACCAGCAAGACCAGUUACCCUCAGGGUACUCAGCCCCCUGAGCUGGAAGACAGUGACAAGGAGGAGCAGGACGAAGACCCCACAGUCCAGGAGGAAACCUGCUGCUCCACUUAAGACAUGCACAAGUCUAUGGGACCGGAUAGGAUCCACCCAAAGGUACUGAGAGAGCUGGUGGAAGAGCUCACCAAGCCAUUCCCCAUCAUUUACAAACAGUCCUGGCUAACGAGGGAGGUCCCAGCAGACUGACAUCCAUCUACAAGAAGGGCAGGAUCCAGGGACCUACAGCCCUGUCAGGCUGACCUCGGUGCUGGGGAAGGUUAUGGACCAGAUCAUCCUGAGUGCCAUCACACAGCACGUGCAGGACAGCCAGGGGAUCAGGCCCAGCCAGCAGGGGUUUAUGAAAGGCAGGUCCUGCUUGACUGACAUGAUCUUCUAAAACAAGGUGACCUGCUUAGUGGAUGAGGGAAAGGCUGUGGAUGUUGUCUACCUGGACCUUAGUAAAGCCUUGACACCAUCUCCCACAGCAUUCUCCUGGAAAAACUGGCUGCUCAUGGCUUGGACAGUACUGCUCUACACUGCAUUAAAAGCUGGAUGGAUGCCCAAAGAGUGGUAGUAAAUGGAGUUACGUCCAGUUGGUGGCCGGUCACAAGCGGUGUUCCCCAGGGCUCAGCACUGGGGCCAGUCCUGUUCAAUGUCUUUAUCAAUGAUCUGGACGAGGGGAUUGAGUGCACCCUCAGUGAGUUUGCAGACGACAGCAAGCUGGAGGGCAGUUAUCGAUCUGCUUGAGGGCAGGAAGGCUCUGCAGAAGGAUUUGGUCAGGCUGGACUGAUGGGCCAAGCCAACUGUAUGAGGUUCGACAAGGUUCAGUGCCAGGUCCUUCACUUGUAACGGGCUGCCCAGGGAGGUGGUGGAAUCACCAUGCCUGGAGCUGUUUAAAAGAUGUGUAGAUGUGGUGCUUAGCGAUGUGGUUUAGUGGUGGGUUUGGCAGUCCUGGGUUAAUGGUUGGACUUGAUGUCAAAGGUCCUUUGCAACCUAAAUGAUUCUAUGAUUCUAUUGUGGAUGCCUUUUAAAUUGUGGAUAGUGGCAGUAUCUGUAUUGAAAGUAACAGCAAGUAGCUGAACCGUUCAUCUAACAGGAGAUGCUUGGUCUAGUCAAACAGAGGAGAUUCAAUUGGCAUCUUUUGCCUUUCAGGAGAACCCCACAAGGACUUGUCUAAGUUAGGCUGGCUUGAAGACUCUCCAUGCUCUCUCUUGGAACUGUGCCAUUGCACAUAAAGGAUCCUCUCAAUCAGUGGGGCCGAACAGUAUGACACCCUUACCUCUUUUCUCUGGGAGAAGCCUUAGUUCCAGUCCUUGUUUCUGUUUUAGCCACUGGUUGUAAUACAAAAUGUGCUAAUGUGCCUGAACCUAGGAGCAGGAACUACGCUGUCCCAGAUAAGCAUCUCAACUAUUUAAAAUUGGAUUUUGACCACUCUAACUUAUGUGUCUGAAAAAUGCGCCUUCUACUAUGUCAGUCAGCUGGCUACCUACAGUUACCUUUAUAGUCCAUGGGGAGAAACAGAUACCUCACCUUAAACAUUUACGUUGUGUAAACUAGCCUUUUAGAUACCAGUUUGCUUCUGGUAUUCUCCCCGCAGUUUAUUAGGGGAACUGAUGGUUACAGGCUCACACAAUCAGGUAUUUGAAAACUGUCUAGUUGAGAUUAGUUACAAAGGGUGAGUCAUGCCUAUACCUCAAGAUCAAAAGAAGGUCUGUGGAUUGCCUUCACUCAGCCUUUCCUAUAUCACAAUAGGCAAAGUAAUUUCCUGAAGAGUUGAGACUGAUGAGAAAAUGUUUACACUUGUCCUAACCCUUUCACAGUUGCCAGUUCUAACCCACUCACUGCAGGCUUUCUGCAUCAUGACAAGGCACGUAAGUGGGACUGCCCUUUGUGGAUCUGCAUCUUCAAGCUGAACGUUGUGGUACCUAAGGCCAUCAACUUUGUGUGUCUUCACCAUUUCUCUGACUGCUUCUUUACUGUUCCUGCUGCCUAAUUGGAUUAGGUAACUGAUCCAGUUGGAAAAAAAAAAGUCUAUCAGCAGCAAAUGGGUGGCAAGUACUUCAGUAAGAAACAGUGCUGAUUUUAAAACAUCAAUGCCAGUAUAGAUCUAGUGUGUCAUACCUCAUGAGGUAUGUUCAACAUUUGUGGAGUACUUUGAGGAAGCACUGUUCUGCUGACAUAAAUUAGGUUAAGGUACAUAGAAAAUCCCACUGAAGUAUCCCUAUGUAUAAAAUGCUCUUAAAAACUAAUCAGGAGCUUUCAAAAAAUUAAAAGUCACUACAGUUAAUGAUUCUUUUAAAUAUCAGUUUGUAUUAAUUGCUAAUUCUGGUGCUUAUUCAACUUGAAAUACUGUCUCAGGUGCAUCACCCUGAUAGGAAAGCCUAUUUCAGUGGAUAUGGUGGAUCAAAAUACAUUAUGCAGCCAUGGCUGGGAAAAAAAUCUAGCCUCAUGAUUGAUGUACUUAAGUGUUUGUACAUGUAAAGUACAUUUAGAAAACAUACUUCCUUUUUAAACUUGAGCAAACAGAUACCAGGAUAAAACUCAUGUACCUUUUUUCCUAUGAUGAAAUAAAACAUUGCUAAGCAUGUUUUGAGUAAUUAAUUUCAUUAUAAGCAAACAUACUGCAUGUUCAGUUUACUAUAACUCAGGGCAGGCAUUAAAUUCCUUCCACAUUUGGUUUAAAUAUAGCCUGGCUUCAGCAAGGAAUAGCAAAGGUUCUGCACAUCAAACAUCUUGCCCUUUUACAGAGGGCAGAGGAAGAAACUAAACAGUUAAGAACUGUACUUACAAUUAAUGGUAACCUUAAUUUUAGGGAAUAGAGCUAAAUAAAGGCCAACAGGAACCAAAAUAUUUCUGGGGAGAGCUGUUAUAAAUAAAUCCUUCAAUACUUUGAUAGCUCUCUCUACAAAAACACGCAUUGCACUGCUUUCACAUGAUACAUGCAAAGGAAGAUUUAAUCUAAAUUUUUGC